AACGCUAGCUACAGGCUUAACACAUGCAAGUAGAGGGGCAGCGCGAUGCAGCAAUGUAUUGGCGGCGACCUGCGAAUGGGUGAGUAACACGUAUCCAACCUGCCUGUGACCGGAGGAUAGCCUCCCGAAAGGGAAAUUAACGCUCCAUGCAUCCUACGAUAGGCAUCUUGAAUAGGAUAAAUGCAAAGGUCACGGAUGGGGAUGCGUCCCAUUAGAUAGUAGGCGGGGUAACGGCUCACCUAGUCGACGAUGGGUAGGGGUUCUGAGAGGAAGGUCCCCCACAUUGGAACUGAGACACGGUCCAAACUCCUACGGGAGGCAGCAGUGAGGAAUAUUGGUCAAUGGACGAGAGUCUGAACCAGCCAAGUAGCGUGCAGGACGACGGCCCUAUGGGUUGUAAACUGCUUUUGCAGGGGGGUAAAGUGAGCGACGAGUCGUUCAUUGCAAGUACCCUGCGAAUAAGGAUCGGCUAAUUCCGUGCCAGCAGCCGCGGUAAUACGGAAGAUCCGAGCGUUAUCCGGAAUUAUUGGGUUUAAAGGGAGCGUAGGCGGAUGAUCAAGUCAGUUGUGAAAGUUUGGGGCUCAACCUUGAAAUUGCAGUUGAAACUGGUUAUCUUGAGUGUACAUAACGGUGGUGGAAUUUGUGGUGUAGCGGUGAAAUGCAUAGAUAUCACGAAGAACUCCGAUUG
rnacentral:rRNA from 1 species